CGACGUCGCAUGCUCCCGGCCGCCAUGGCGGCCGCGGGAAUUCGAUUAGAGUUUGAUCAUGGCUCAGAUUGAACGCUGGCGGCAGGCCUAACACAUGCAAGUCGAGCGGAUGACAGAGCUUGCUCCUGAAUUCAGCGGCGGACGGGUGAGUAAUGCCUAGGAAUCUGCCUGGUAGUGGGGGACAACGUUUCGAAAGGAACGCUAAUACCGCAUACGUCCUACGGGAGAAAGCAGGGGACCUUCGGGCCUUGCGCUAUCAGAUGAGCCUAGGUCGGAUUAGCUAGUUGGUGAGGUAAUGGCUCACCAAGGCGACGAUCCGUAACUGGUCUGAGAGGAUGAUCAGUCACACUGGAACUGAGACACGGUCCAGACUCCUACGGGAGGCAGCAGUGGGGAAUAUUGGACAAUGGGCGAAAGCCUGAUCCAGCCAUGCCGCGUGUGUGAAGAAGGUCUUCGGAUUGUAAAGCACUUUAAGUUGGGAGGAAGGGCGUUAACCUAAUACGUUAGUGUUUUGACGUUACCGACAGAAUAAGCACCGGCUAACUCUGUGCCAGCAGCCGCGGUAAUACGAAUCACUAGUGAAUUCGCGGCCGCCUGCAGGUCGACCAUAUGGGUUAGCUCCCAACGC
rnacentral:rRNA from 1 species